rnacentral:sRNA from 1 species
GCUGGGUGUGGUGGCGCAUGUCUGUAAUCUCAGCAGCUCUGAAGACUGAGGCGGGAGGAUCGUGAAUUCAAAGCCAGCCUCAGCAGCUUAGUGAGACUCUAAGCAACUUAGUGAGACCCCGUCUCUA